rnacentral:lncRNA from 1 species
UUUCUGCACUUGUAAAUCUCUUAGUUAUCAAUCUUUUACCUUUCUCUGAAGCAUCUGAUUUUAUUAAAUGAGAAACACAAAUAAUUUCUAAGACACUCACUUUGUAUCUUUUGCUUAUURGCUGCUUAUGCCCUAACUAGUUACAGCAAACAUAGCAUGAAGACGCUUGUCGAAGAGACAUCUAGUAUUGAACCUUGACUGUAGUCGCUCAAAGCUUCCUAACAAAAAGCAAGCAAGCUUCCCAGUUCCUGUUAACAGUAGGAACGGAUCUACCCGUUUCCCUAUAAAAAGCUGCUUUGGUCACUCUAACGCUUCUGGUAGUUCUUCUGAAACAUCUGUUAGUAGAUGCAUGUGUCCUUUUGAGGGCCAUCAGGAAUGGAGACAGAAGGAAAAYGGGAAUAAGAUUUUCAGAGCCCCUGACUACAAAUUAGAAUCUGAAUUUCAAGUUUUGUAGAACCGUCUGAGAAGUGGGGGUUUUUCUAUGUAUCUGCGUAAAGAUUUGUUUACUAUUUGUUUGUUUUCCCUCUGGGUUCCUUUCAUUUUCUGAACUAAGAGCCAUCUUCUUUCAUUACUUAGAAAGUGUGGCUUCUCUUACAGCUUGCUUUCACACUCCUGCAUCCUUUUUCUGUCUUUUUGGAGUGCUUUUAGGGAAAAACAGGCCACGCGAAUUGCAAGUGAAGGGAUCUGCUGCUUGUCCAGUCUGACACAGGAUGAAGGAGUAUCUCAGACYGUCUGUCCUUGGACUUUCAGCCACAUUCAGACUUGAAUGGAAACCUCAGUUUCACCCUUCUCUGUUUGCGGAGGGAACCCAAACUUGACUCAGGACUCCACCUGUGCACUAGGAUCUCUCUGACGGCCUUGUCACACCAGCAGAAUCGGACAGAAUACAGCUCCCAUGACGUAGCACACACUCCCUCGCAUCGCUUUCUUGUGUCCGAGGCCCUGGACAUCAUGGGAGAGACAGCCUGGGAAAGAAGUCCAGUGUGUGGGAAAGAAAAAAGGCAAAGAAAGCAAGAGCUAUGGUUUCUUUCAUGGUAUUACUCUAGCCAGAGAAUUUCUAGCCUGCCUGUGCUGAAUCCAAACUUUGCAAUACUGUUCAAUAAUCACUUCUGCAGAAACUGUACUUYAAAACAAACAAAUCAGUUUGACAGAAAACUCUGAGGAGCUGAAGAUAAAUUCAUAUACAAGUUUUUUUUAAAAAAACCUUAAUAUAUCUUGUUUUGUGAUUGGCAAUUAAUAUAGCAUAUAUUCAGAAUACUUUUACUGAAACUUAUAAUUCUCUUUUUGUUUAAUUCCUGGAAAUGCAUGAAC